rnacentral:rRNA from 1 species
AACGAACGCUGGCGGCAUGCCUAACACAUGCAAGUCGAACGGGAUCCUGGUUUCGGCCAGGUGAGAGUGGCGGACGGGUGAGUAACGCGUGGGAAUCUGCCCAUGUAGUGGGGAAUAACCAGCCGAAAGGUUGGCUAAUACCGCAUACGACCCUUGCCCACAAGGCAAAGGUGAAAGCAGGGGAUCGCAAGACCUUGCGCUAUUGGAUGAGCCGAAGUCGGAUUAGCAGUUGGUAGGGUAACGGCCUACCAAGGCGACGAUCCGUAGCUGGUCUGAGAGGACGACCAGCCACACUGGGACUGAGACACGGCCCAGACUCCUACGGGAGGCAGCAGUGGGGAAUAUUGGACAAUGGGGGCAACCCUGAUCCAGCGACGCCGCGUGUGUGAAGAAGGCCUGCGGGUUGUAAAGCACUUUUAGUGGGGAUG